UCGGCCAGUGGCAGCCCGGGACCCUGGGAUCCAGGGCUCGCACGACAGGUCUCCAAACUUUCUCCCAGCUUUUAUUCACCCUGAGCAGCAAACCACGAGACGGUCUCUUCUUGCAGACAGAAAUGAAAAUGCUCGGAAAAAGAGCUCUUACCUACCCCAAAGGCCGGAUUUACUUAUCCUGAGGAAAAUUUUUAUAAAAAACAAAAAGAAACAUGGUGUCCAGGGUGGAGCUAUCCCUGAAGGUCUUUCCACCGGACUAUGGUGUAUGCACCAAGGAAAGGUCAUGUGAGGACACAGUGAACAGAUGGCUAUUUGCAAUCUAAGGGGGUUCACCAGAUACCAACCCUGCUGGCACCUUGAUAUUGGACUUCCCAGCCUCUA